rnacentral:rRNA from 1 species
GACGAACGCUGGCGGCGUGCUUAACACAUGCAAGUCCGGGGGCGGGGUAACCCGUCACCGGCGAACGGGUGCGGAACACGUGAGCGACCUGCCCUGGUGUGGGGGAUAGCCGGCCCAACGGCCGGGUAAUACCGCAUACGGCGCCCGCUUGGAAGCGGGAGGCGAAACUCGCAAGAGGCGCUAGGAGGGGCUCGCGGCCUAUCAGCUAGUUGGUGCGGUAACGGCGCACCAAGGCGAUGACGGGUAGCUGGUCUGAGAGGAUGGCCAGCCACAUUGGGACUGAGAGACGGCCCAGACUCCUACGGGAGGCAGCAGUGGGGAAUAUUGCGCGAUGGGCGAAGGCAUGACGCAGCGACGCCGCGUGGAGGAUGAGGCCCUUCGGGGUGUAAACUCCUGUGGCCCGGGACGAAUGCCCCGCAUAGGCGGGGUUGACGGUACCGGGUGAGGAAGCACCGGCUAACUCUGUG